UACAGAGGUCUCAAGCGUUGUUCGGAUUCAUUGGGCGUAAAGGGUGCGUAGGUGGCGGGGUAAGUCAGGUGUGAAAUCUCGAGGCUCAGCCUCGAAACUGCACUUGAUACUGCCUUGCUCGAGUACUGGAGAGGAGAUUGGAAUUUACGGUGUAGCAGUGAAAUGCGUAGAUAUCGUAAGGAAGACCAGUGGCGAAGGCGAAUCUCUGGACAGUUACUGACACUGAGGCACGAAGGCCAGGGGAGCAAACGGG
rnacentral:rRNA from 1 species